rnacentral:rRNA from 1 species
UACGUAGGGGGGCAAGCGUUGUCCGGAAUCAUUGGGCGUAAAGAGCGUGUAGGCGGCCAGAUAAGUCCGCUGUGAAAUCUCGAGGCUCAACUUCGAGCUGUCGGUGGAAACUGUCUGGCUAGAGUCCGGAAGAGGAGAAUGGAAUUCCUGGUGUAGCGGUGAAAUGCGCAGAUAUCAGGAGGAACACCGGUGGCGAAGGCGGUCUCUGGGCAUGUCCUGACGCUGAGGAGCGAAAGUGUGGGGAGCGAACAGG